GCAUAUCAAUAAGCGGAGGAAAAGAAACUAACAAGGAUUCCCCUAGUAACGGCGAGUGAAGAGGGAAGAGCUCAAAUUUGAAAGCUGGUACCUUCGGUAUCCGCGUUGUAACCUCGAGACACGUUUUCCGUGCGGCGCUAUGGACAAGUUCCUUGGGACAGGACAUCGUAGAGGGUGAAAAUCCCGUACUUGCCAUGGAUGUACCGUGCUUUGCGAUACGUGCUCUAAGAGUCGAGUUGUUUGGGAUUGCAGCUCAAAAUGGGUGGUAGACUCCAUCUAAAGCUAAAUAUCGGGGAGAGACCGAUAGCGAACAAGUACCGUGAGGGAAAGAUGAAAAGCACUUUGGAAAGAGAGUUAAAAGUACGUGAAAUUGUCGAAAGGGAAGCGCUUGAAGUCAGCCAUGCCGCUCAGGACUCAGCCUGGCUUUUGCUUGGUGUAUUUCCUGGGUAGCAAGUCAGCAUUGGUUUGGAUCGUCGGAGAAGCAUAGUCGGAAUGUGGCGCCCUCGGGCGUGUUAUAGCCUUCUAUUGGAUACGACGAUCUAGACCAAGGAACGCAGCGCGCCUUAUGGCGGGUCUUCGGACACCUUCGCGCUUAGGAUGCUGGCGUAAUGGCUUUAAGUGGCCCGUCUUGAAACACGGACCGG
rnacentral:rRNA from 1 species